rnacentral:rRNA from 1 species
AUCAACGCUGGCGGCGCGCUUAACACAUGCAAGUCGCACGAGAAAGCAGUAGCAAUACUGUGAGUACAGUGGCGUACGGGUGAGUAACACGUGGAUUAUCUACCUUCUAGUGGGGGAAUACCUCCGGGAAACUGGAGACAAUACCGCAUAAGCUCGUAAGAGGAAAGCAGCAAUGCGCAUGGAAGAGGAGUCCGCGGCUUGAUUAGGCUAGUUGGCGGGGUAACGGCCCACCAAGGCGAAGAUCGGUAGCCGGCCCUGAGAGGGCACAACCGGCCACACUGGCACUGAAAACACUGGGCCAGACUCCUACGGGAGGCAGCAGUGGGGAAUCUUGCACAAUGGAGGAAACUCUGAUGCAGCGACGCCGCGUGAGCGAUGAAGCCCUUCGGGGUGUAAAGCUCUUUCGACGGGGACGAUGAUGACGUUACCCGAAGAAGAAGCUGCGGCUAACUACGUGCCAGCAGCCGCGGUAAUACGUAGGCAGCAAGCGUUGUUCGGAAUUACUGGGCAGUAAGAGUGUGUAGGCGGUGUUCUAAGUUUGUCGUGAAAUCUCCAGGCUUAACUGGGAGGGUGCGGCGAAAACUGGAAUGCUAGCAGGAUGGGAGAGGUAAGCGGAAUUUACCUGGUGUAGCGGUGAAAUGCGUAGAUAUCAGGAGGAACACCUGUGGUGUAGACAGCUUACUGGACCAUUUCUGACGCUGAGACACGAAAGCGUGGGUAGCAAACAGGAUUAGAUACCCUGGUAGUCCACGCCCUAAACGAUGCAUACUUGGUGUUGAGCGAUUCAUUUCGUUCGUGCCGGAUGCUAACGCGUAAGUAUGCCGCCCUGGGGAGUACGGUCGCAAGGCUGAAACUCACAAAGGAAUUGACGGGGGCCCGCACAAGCGGUGGAGCAUGUGGUUCAAUUCGACGCAAUCGCGAAAGAACCUUACCUGGGCUCGAACGUAGCCUCCUAUGGACAAUCCUUGCGAAACAGGACUUCUCGCAAGAGGACUGUAGUCGAGGUGCUGCAUGGCUGUCGUCAAGCUCGUGUCGUGAGAUGUUGGGUUAAGUCCCGCAACGAGCGGCAACACUUGUGUCCCUUGUCGUGCCAUCAUUUAGUUUGUGGAACUCUCAGGGAGACCCGCCAGCGAUAAGCUGGAGGAAGGUGUGGGAAUGAUGUCAAGUCAUCAUGGCCUUUACGUCCAGGGCUACACACGUGCUACAAUGGCCGGUACAAAGCGCUGCAAACUCGCAAGAGGGAGCUAAUCGCAAAAAACACUGGUCUCAGUUCGGAUCGCAGGCUGCAACUCGCCUGCGUGAAGCAUGGAAUCGCUAGUAAUGCCGUAUCGGAACGAUUGGCGUGAAUACGUUCCAGGGCCUUGGUACACACCGCACCGUCACAUCACGAAAGUGGAUUGUACUAGAAGUCUUAAUCAAACAAGCCCAAGGUACUGAUGCAUGAUUGGGGUG